rnacentral:rRNA from 1 species
UACGGGGGGAGCAAGCGUUGUUCGGAUUUACUGGGCGUAAAGGGCGCGUAGGCGGUCAGCACAAGUCAGUUGUGAAAUCUCCGGGCUUAACCCGGAAAGGUCAACUGAUACUGUGCGACUAGAGUGCGGUAGGGGAGAUUGGAAUUCCUGGUGUAGCGGUGGAAUGCGCAGAUAUCAGGAGGAACACCAAUGGCGAAGGCAGAUCUCUGGGCCGUAACUGACGCUGAGGAGCGAAAGCAUGGGGAGCGAACAGG